AGAAGAUGCGAAAUAAUAUUUUAAACCGUCAAGAGAUGGCUCUUAGGUAAUAUUCUUUAACCAAAUAAACAGCAAUGAUAAGGGUCGUAGUGCCGCCACAAAUUUUUAUAUGAUUUAUGAUAUCAACUUGUAGAAUGUUUUUAUUUCGAAAACUUGUAAAUAAUAUUAAAUACUGUAAGAUUAGCACUGCUCGUUAUACCUUAAAGAAUACAAAAUGGCAAAUGUAUUAAAACUUCAAAAUAUCAUCAACGUUCAAGCAUCAGUCCAACAUUUGGCAACACUAUUCAUUCUUCAUGGUUCUGGAAGUUCAGGGAAUGACAUGAAAAUGUGGAUUGAUGUUCUGAAUCGUGAAGAAUUGAAAUUUCCUUAUGUAAAAAUUGUUUAUCCUACUGCUCCAUCACAGCCUUAUACACCUCUCGAUGGAAUGGAAAGUAAUGUAUGGUUCGAUCGUCUAGAUAUAUCAAAGACUGUUCCUGAAAAGAAAGAAUCUAUCAAUCAAAUAUGUGAAAUAAUGUCUGAAUUAAUAGAUAAAGAAGUUGAAGCAGGAAUUCCCAUCCAAAAAAUUAUGUUAAGUGGUUUUUCAAUGGGUGGAGCAUUAGCUUUACAUUUAGCUUAUCGAUACAGAACAUCCAUAGCUGGAUGUGUUGCCAUGUCAACUUUUCUCAAUGAUAAUUCUUUAGUAUAUGAGGCUAUAAAAAACAAUAAUGGAACAAAAUUACCACCUUUACUCCAAUUUCACGGAUUGAAAGAUUCAUUGGUUCCAUUUAAGUGGGGUGAAACAACUUAUAAAAUCUUGAAAGAGUUAAAUGUAGAUUGUAAACUGAUACCAAUACCAAAUGCUGAUCAUGAAUUGGUUCAAACUGAAAUUAAACAGUUUACGGAACACAUUCUAAACACUUUGUCGAAUGAACAUAAUCCUAAAUUAUAAUUUUGUUCUUCUUUUAAGCUAAAAUAUAUAAAAAAGAAUUACGAUUGAUAACAGUUUCCAUUAAUUCAAUUUAUCAGACAAGAAUUCAAUAGAAAGACUAUUCAAAUAUUUUUCCAAGGUUAACAUCGAACACCCCUGGACGUUGGCACGAUUACGAAGAUUGGCGUUGCGCAUUGGCGUAGUUGUUAUCACCCCCAAUGUACACUAGCUUACUCGUGGGGGUACCUUUCACUUUUUGAU